UACGGAGGAUGCAAGCGUUAUCCGGAAUGAUUGGGCGUAAAGCGUCCGCAGGCGGCAAUGUAAGUCUGCUGUUAAAGCGUCUAGCUCAACUAGAUACAAGCAGUGGAAACUACAUCGCUAGAGUGCGUUCGGGGCAGAGGGAAUUCCUGGUGUAGCGGUGAAAUGCGUAGAGAUCAGGAAGAACACCGGUGGCGAAGGCGCUCUGCUAGGCCGCAACUGACACUGAGGGACGAAAGCUAGGGGAGCGAAUGGG
rnacentral:rRNA from 1 species